AUAGGGCGUCUAGUCGCCGGGAAUAGACCCGAAACCGGGCAAUCUAUCCAUGGGCAGGUUGAAGGUUAGGUAACACUGACUGGAGGACCGAACCGACUACCGUUGAAAAGUUAGCGGAUGACCUGUGGAUCGGAGUGAAAGGCUAAUCAAGCUCGGAGAUAGCUGGUUCUCCUCGAAAGCUAUUUAGGUAGCGCCUCAUGUAUCACUGUAGGGGGUAGAGCACUGUUUCGGCUAGGGGGUCAUCCCGACUUACCAAACCGAUGCAAACUCCGAAUACCUACAAGUGCCGAGCAUGGGAGACACACGGCGGGUGCUAACG
rnacentral:rRNA from 1 species